rnacentral:rRNA from 1 species
UACAGAGGUCCCGAGCGUUGUUCGGAUUCAUUGGGCGUAAAGGGUGCGUAGGCGGCGGGGUAAGUUUGAUGUGAAAUCCCGGGGCUCAACCCUGGAGUUGCAUUGAAUACUACCUUGCUAGAGUACCGGAGAGGAAACUGGAAUUUACGGUGUAGCAGUGAAAUGCGUAGAGAUCGUAAGGAAGACCAGUGGCGAAGGCGAGUUUCUGGACGGUAACUGACGCUGAGGCACGAAGGCCAGGGGAGCAAACGGG